AUUGAACGCUGGCGGCAGGCCUAACACAUGCAAGUCGAGCGGAGCGGCGUACGGGUGAGUAAUGCCUAGGAAUCUGCCUGGUAGUGGGGGAUAACGUCCGGAAACGGGCGCUAAUACCGCAUCCUAUCAGAUGAGCCUAGGUCGGCUUAGCUAGUGGGGGGGGUAAAGGCCUACCAAGGCGACGAUCCGUAACUGGUCUGAGAGGAUGAUCAGUCAAACUGGAACUGAGAAACGGGCCAGAUUCAUAAGGGAGGAAGCAGUGGGGAAUAUUGGACAAUGGGCGAAAGCCUGAGCCAGCCAUGCCGCGUGUGUGAAGAAGGUCUUCGGAUUGUAAAGCAAUUUAAGUUGGGAGGCGUUACCAACAGAAUAAGCACCGGCUAACUUCGUGCCAGCAGCCGCGGUAAUUC
rnacentral:rRNA from 1 species